GAUGAACGCUGGCGGCGUGCUUAACACAUGCCAGUCGAACGGACAGGCCCUGCUUUUGUGGGGUGCUCGAGUGGCGAACGGGUGAGUAACACGCGAGUAACCUGCCCUUGACUUUGGGAUAACUUCAGGAAACUGGGGAUCAUACCGGAUAGGAGCUACUGCUGCAUGGUGGGGGUUGGAAAGUUUCGGCGGUUGGGGAUGGACUAGAGGCUUAUCGGCUUGUUUGUGGAGUAGUGGCUUUACAAGGCUUUGACGGGUAGGCGGCCUGAGAGGGUGACCGGCCACAUGGGGACUGAGAGACGGCCCAGACGCCUACGGGACGCAGCGGUGGGGAAUAUUGCACAGUGGGCGGAAGCCAGAUGCAGCAACGCCGCGUGCGGGAUGACGGCCUACGGGGUGUAAACCGCUUUCUCCUUUGACAAAGCGUGAGUGACGGUAAUUAGUAAAGAAGCACCGGCUAACUACGUG
rnacentral:rRNA from 1 species